rnacentral:rRNA from 1 species
GAUGAACGCUGGCGGCGUGCCUAAUACAUGCAAGUCGAGCGAACAGACGAGGAGCUUGCUCCUCUGACGUUAGCGGCGGACGGGUGAGUAACACGUGGAUAACCUACCUAUAAGACUGGGAUAACUUCGGGAAACCGGAGCUAAUACCGGAUAAUAUAUUGAACCGCAUGGUUCAAUAGUGAAAGACGGUUUUGCUGUCACUUAUAGAUGGAUCCGCGCAGCAUUAUCUAGUUGUUAAGGUAACGGCUUACCAAGGCAACGAUGCGUAGCCGACCUGAGAGGGUGAUCGGCCACACUGGAACUGAGACACGGUCCAGACUCCUACGGGAGGCAGCAGUAGGGAAUCUUCCGCAAUGGGCGAAAGCCUGACGGAGCAACGCCGCGUGAGUGAUGAAGGUCUUCGGAUCGUAAAACUCUGUUAUUAGGGAAGAACAAAUGUGUAAGUAACUAUGCACGUCUUGACGGUACCUAAUCAGAAAGCCACGGCUAACUACGUG